AGAGUUUGAUCAUGGCUCAGAGCGAACGCUGGCGGCAUGCUUAACACAUGCAAGUCGCACGGGCACUUCGGUGUCAGUGGCGGACGGGUGAGUAACGCGUAGGUAUCUAUCCUUGGGUGGGGGAUAACGGCUGGAAACGGCUGCUAAUACCGCAUGAUAACUGAGGUUCAAAGGCGCGAGUCGCCUGGGGAGGAGCCUGCGUACGAUUAGCUAGUUGGUGGGGUAAAGGCCUACCAAGGCUGCGAUCGUUAGCUGGUCUGAGAGGAUGAUCAGCCACAUUGGGACUGAGACACGGCCCAAACUCCUACGGGAGGCAGCAGUGGGGAAUAUUGGACAAUGGGCGAAAGCCUGAUCCAGCAAUGCCGCGUGUGUGAAGAAGGUCUUCGGAUUGUAAAGCACUUUCGACGGGGACGAUGAUGACGGUACCCGUAGAAGAAGCCCCGGCUAACUUCGUGCCAGCAGCCGCGGUAAUACGAAGGGGGCUAGCGUUGCUCGGAAUGACUGGGCGUAAAGGGCGCGUAGGCGGAUGGCACAGUCAGAUGUGAAAUUCCCGGGCUUAACCUGGGGGCUGCAUUUGAUACGUGUGAUCUAGAGUGAGGAAGAGGGUCGUGGAAUUCCCAGUGUAGAGGUGAAAUUCGUAGAUAUUGGGAAGAACACCGGUGGCGAAGGCGGCGACCUGGUCCUUUUACUGACGCUGAGGCGCGAAAGCGUGGGGAGCAAACAGGAUUAGAUACCCCUGUAGUCC
rnacentral:rRNA from 1 species